AUGACUUUGGUAGGUUCCUCUGAUGGCAUUAAGGGAACGACGAGGUCCACCAGUGAGCAAAUCGGACAAACAAGGUUAGUCUUCUCAUCUCCGAUGUUAUGGAGUUUAAAAUUGAGCCAGUUGUGAUAAGAAUUGUGUGGCUUUGGUGAUUGAGUUCAUUAUUUAGUGUUGGUUUCAGCUUCAUCAUCAUCAUUAGUUUAAUUAUCUCUAUAGCGACAUGAAAUGUGUGAGAAAAAGCUACAACCAAAUAGAGAACUUAAAGUCCUUAGAAGAGAAACAACAAAACUAUAUCAUCAUCUUACAAUUUAUCUUCAUGAACCUACAUAUACGAGCAUAUAGAAUAUGGAAACUUUGAAGUUCUUUAUUUAGUGUUGGUUUCAGCUUCAACAUCAUCAUCAGUUUAAAUAUUGUAGUGUGAUUGAAACCAACAUUUGUUUUCUAAUUGAACUAAUUCAGAAUCAUGAGAACAAUCAAAGUUACAUUUAAAAGUAGUAAUGAUUUGAGUAUGCUUUCGAAGUCAUGUUCUUGCCUAAUUGGAACCCUUUUAUUUCAAAGUAUU
rnacentral:lncRNA from 1 species